CAUCUGUUUCCGCUGCCUGCUCAAAAAGAUUGUUGAGAUUGACUAUCAGUAGUGGUUAACAUGGCAAAAGAACCCCUCCCGCAAGAAUCAUUUCAAGAGGCUUCAUUGACGGCAAAUCAAGAGAUCACUUGUACUCAUGCCGUGGAUCGUUAACCAAAUGAAGCCCCAAAAAGUAAGAAGACAUUGGGAAUUGAAAAUUACAGACUGAAUCAUAUGAUCGUUUAACCCAUGUACCAGGAAUUCGUGCCAACAAUCCAAUCGAGAGCAAUUAGACGAUGUCAAAAGAUACUGCUGUUAUCAUCUUGCUUUUUGACACAUUUGUCAUACACCUUGAUGGGGGUGGAUACUACACUCAUCAGAUUUUGUUCGGAAAAUAUUCGAUGAGAUUCGCUUGUUAAACUCCAGACAACUUAUUUCAUUUAAUUCGCUUUUAGCCAUUAUAUUAUAAAAUGUUUGCUUUUUUCAAAGCCAUUUUCAAGUUCUGUACUGCCAAAAACUGUUUUUAUUUAAUUCGUUCAAAUAUCUAUGUUUUGUAAGGUAUAAUUUUGUCCUAACGUUGCAUCACCUUUUUGCUUGCACUCUCACAAGUGCAAAAACGGAUCUUUUGAUUUUUUUCGCAUUUUACCCUCGGUAACUUUGGGGCAAUUUAGAUAGAAAUGAUGCUUUGAAAACCAAUAUCAGUGACAAGUCCAGUGACAAUUUCUCUUCUGUCUAUCUCUCGCGAUUGUUUUGUGAAUUCGUGAAAAGCAUCAAUGAAUGACAGCCUUAUCAUAGAGGAGUUUGUAUGACUUUAGAUGAUGACAUUAAGGAAGAGGGAUUUCAAAAUCUGUGAAAAUGUUGGGUACGUAAUAUACAAUGACCCCUAAGGUCCAGUAAUUUACUUAUUUUGGAAGGAGUUAUUUGAUAGAAGUGACUUACUUGCAACCAGCAUAGCUCUUUGUCCGACAUUCGACAAAUGUUCUCUAAUUUAUGUCAAAGGUUGUUGCACAACUGACUGAAGCAAAUCUUGGAACAGCCACAAGUAAGCAGAGAUCUCGCCAAAAGCGUACUCUAGAUAAGAAUGAGAGCUGCACUGUCUCCUAAUCAUGAUCCAGUCUCGUCACCAUGCUCCAGUCUGGAAGAGGUGUAAAAGCUGCAAAUAAAGAAAAUUGCGGAGGUUCCCACUAGAAAACUUUAAACUUGUGUAUAACGUACAGACUUAGGCAAAUAUUCAGUUUUUCCCUGUUUUUAUUCUUGUAUCAUGUUGUUAGAUAGGGAUGGGCAAGAUACACUUAAAAAGUAUCGUACUUCAAGAUAACAGUUUUUAUACAAACGGUAUCUUAUCUUAAAAUAUAAUGAUUAGUCCCAUUUCUGGUGUUAGAUCGUGUUUUAUUUGAUCAAGAGCUACAGAAGGUUGCUGAAUAGUUUGCUGAAUAUUAAUGGUCCAGCUAUCAAAAAGUUUUCUCUGCGUAACUUAGCGAGAUUAUAGGGAAGACAAUUUGUUACUAAGGGUGAAUAAGCUAUCACCCUCUCCAGUCAGUGCUUGUAUGUUUUUCUGAAUAUGAACGGUUAGGCACGAGUUUUAGAAGACAAUUGCAACCUCUCCUUUUUGGUUUCAGAAGACGAUUGCAAGCUAUUCAGUAAAUCUUUCCCGUUCUUCUAUUUUAUUGGUUAUGAAUAUUCGUCUUCUCUUUCGUUAUUUAUGCGUAUAAUUUGGUGGAGUGUCUCAGCGAUGUAAGUGUUAGGUUGGUGUUAGAAAACACAUUAGCUGACUUAAAAACAAUAGGUAGACAGUUUUUGUUGCUCUGAUAUAAUAAUGUCCCGAUCUCCACUGAAAGCUUCUUUGUUAAACUCAAUUUGUUACAGUUUGAAGCUGUCAGGGUUGUUUCCAAUCACCUUAUGUUUCAAAUCCUGUUGAUUGGUCAAUGCUUUCCUUGUUCAUACCGACAAGGUUAGUGGUUUAGUCUGGUCAAUAGCAAGUAUGUAUUUGAUGAAGGUUGUAUUUGAUUAAGUAUGUAUUUGAUGAAGUAUCUAUGCAAGUAUGUAUGAGACACUAAUGAAGCUUGAAGGUCGAGA